UCUCGGCCGACUCGUCUUAUUCAUGGUUUUAUUCUGAAUGGCGGCGCUGCUUUCAAGUUUGCAAUUGAAAGUGCCCCACAUACAAGCUGUGAACAACAAAUCAAAUGUGCAUAAUAGGGAGCUGUUUUUAUGACAUGUUAUUGCACGCUUCUCACCAUUAACAUUAUGUAGGUUAUAAUUUAAAUAACCAAAGAGAGUGGGCAUCUCAUCAAAACAUCAAAUACCAGCCAAAUUGAAAAGAGAAGGAAAACACAAAAAAGAAAUGUUUCUAAAGAAUUUCGCCUCGACUGGGGUCGCCAUACGAAUAUAUAGAGAACUAUAGAAAUAGAAAAAAAUAUGAAAUAUGUAUUUAUAGAAAAUCUUGUCAAGACGUUUCUAUAUGCAAAGACAAACAAACUUGUGUUUGAGUU